UACGAAGGGGGCGAGCGUUGUUCGGAUUUACUGGGCGUAAAGGGCGCGUAGGCGGCCAGCGCAAGUCAGUUGUGAAAUCUCCGGGCUUAACUCGGAACGGUCAAGUGAUACUGUCGGACUAGAGUACAGAAGGGGCAACUGGAAUUCUCGGUGUAGCGGUGAAAUGCGUAGAUAUCGAGAGGAACACCUGCGGCGAAGGCGGGUUGCUGGGCUGAUACUGACGCUGAGGCGCGAAAGCCAGGGGAGCGAACGGG
rnacentral:rRNA from 1 species